rnacentral:lncRNA from 1 species
AUUCAAUUAAUAUUACGUUAAAAGUGGCUCACCCUAUAUAUACUAUCUAAUGAAAUUCAGAAUACUAUCAUAAUAAGCGAAGGUAUUCUGGAUUUCAACCAGGUUGAACACACCCAAAGCGAUAACGUAUAAGGUACCCCUUUAGGUUAACGAUGAUAACUCUGAGUAGUUUAACGUUGGAACGUGAAUUUGAUGACUAUGUUACCAUACGACGAUUAAAUCAAUGGUACCAUUAGCUCCAAAUAAUAAAGUUAAAGGUGAUAAUAACUUAUUACCUUCAAUUUUAUGUUAUUAUCGUCGUUAUUAAGGGUGUGGUCAACCUGAUUUUAAUCCAGAACCUGUAAAAUAUAAAUUACAGGUUCUGUAUAUGUAAUGUUAUGGAUAAUUUAUGGAUAUAAUAGACCAUACUCCCUAUAUCGUUGACUCGUUGAUUUCGUUGACUCGUUGACUUUUGACUAAAACAGGGUCGCGCGUGUUUUUUUUCCGUAUGGCGCCUAGUCAGGCCCCGUCAGGACGGCGAGCGCCGAUGGCGUCCUCCAAUUUUGGCGCCGAGUAGCGUAAUUGCCAGUUGUCUAGCGCGCUCGCCGUCCUGACGGGGCCUGACUAGGCGCCAUACGGAAAAAAAACACGCGCGACCCUGUUUGUUUGGCGCGGAGCACGUGUCUGUAUUUGCAACCGAUCGGUGAUCGUAUGGUGACUCCACUGCCGACCGAAAGUCAACGAUAUAGGGAGUAUGGUCUAUUAUUUAAAAUACGAACGAAUAAUGAAAGAAGGACAGGGGUGUGUAAUUAUUUAAUGAACCGGCCUUUUCGAAAAUCAGGGUAUUUGCUCAUGGGAGAACGACCACGCACACGUGCACACUCUUGGCGGCAUUAUUCGAGCGAGGCGCAACCUUCGACAGCUUUUUUUACAUCCUCGGGCAGCUAACGGGGAGGCCGACAAAGUUGUCGAGCCGAUUUUUGAUUUAUGCCCUGGCCAUCGAGCAGUCGCGCCUCCCGCGGGGCCAAACGAUGAGGCGGAUCUCUGCGUCACGACGCAUUUUCUCAGAAAUCUGCUCGACAACUUUGAAGGGACGUUCGCGGGCAACGGGAAAAUGAGGGUUUUAUUUUGUGCAGAUAAAAACUGCGGCUGAAUGCCGCCGAGAGUGUGCACAUGUGCGUGUUCGUUCUCCUAUGAGCAAAUAGUAUUAUUUUCAAAAGGCCGGUUUAUUAAAUAAUUACGUCACCCCAGUCCUUAUUAUUAAGUGUUUAAGUAUUUUCGUAACGACUGAAAGGUGCAAUUGAAGGUGCAAGUUUUCUUUCGAGACAACCGCCGCCGGAUCCUCACUCGCCCUUUGCUCCCGGACACAAGUUCCGCGCAGCUUUGAAUCGUCCCAUCAGUCGAUCGAGAAAUUUGUUCGUGUCAUGACUUCGAGAAAUUCUCCAGAUUUCACUCAGAAGCAUCCUUUGGAGCACACCUGGUCUCUAUGGUUUGAUAACCCUAACGGGUGAGAAUGAAACCACCCCCAAACUCUCACACCGUUGUUUAGGAGGUACUGACCAUGGAAACCAUAUUUCAGGCGGCAGAAGCAAGCGACCUGGGGACAAACUCUACGCAGCGUCUACACUUUCAACACAGUCGAAGACUUCUGGUGUCUAUACAACAAUAUCCUUUCUCCAAGCAGGUUGAUUAUGGGCACCGACUUCCACCUUUUCAAGGAGGGGAUAGAGCCAAAGUGGGAAGAUGCAAAGUGUGCAAAGGGUGGAAAGUGGACAUACUUUUUCCCCAAGAGCAAAGAGCCCGGCGCUCUUGAUGACUGCUGGCUUAGUCUCUUGCUGGCUAUGAUCGGAGAACAGUUCUGCGAGCCCAGUGAAAUCUGCGGAGCUGUAGUAAGUGUUCGCCAAAAACAGCACAGGGUUGCCCUGUGGACCAAAACAGCUUCCGAUGAAGCCGAUCAAAUGGCCAUUGGCAGACAUUUCAAAACUGUUUUGGGCUUAGCAGACAACGAAAAAAUCGGAUACAUGGUCCAUGAUGAUGCCAUCAGGUUGGAGCGUCGUGCGAAAGACAGAUACACCGU